GGCAUUUCACAUCUAUUUCGUUUGUUCAUUUUUAUUUAUUGACGGAAUACAUAUACAGUUACUUGAAAUAUUUCACUUUUCCCGUAUAGGUACCUGAAUUAAGAAAGGUACUUAUUGAACCCUUUACUCCUUCAGAAAUGGUUUCAAUUGAGCCCAAUUCUCCGACGUGGCAGUUUGCGUGUACUCACGUCUGGGAGGCGCGUGAAAUAUCAUAGAACCAGCUUAUGUGGCACCCAACGGAUCUUUUAUCCUCUUUUUAUACCCAAUUUCUUAAAAAAAAAAAAAAAAUCCUAAUUUCCACUUUCUUCCUCUUUUUAUACUCAAUUCUUAAUAUUCACCAUUUUUGUCUCCUAAAUUCUCCUUCUCCUCUUAAAUUUCUUUUCAGUCUUUUCUCUUGCUCCGCUUAAACUCUCCUACUCUUAUUAAUUUUUUCUUCUUACUUGUUUUUAGUAGUAAUGUCCAAUUCAUCUUUUUCAUUGUCUUCAUCUUCUUCAAUUCCAAAAGGAGUAUGUUUAUGUGGGGUGAAAGCUGAAAUUACGACUUCGUGGACACAAUUCAACACUGGUCGGAGAUUUUUUUGCUGCAAAACUUCAAAGGCGAGAGGUGGAUGCAAUUACUUUGAUUGGUAUGAUGAUGAAAUGUCUCCUCAAGCAAAGAGGGUGAUGUGGGGUUUAUUGAAAAAAGUCAAAUCAUUUGAAGAAGAGAGGAAUCGAUCAAGAAAAUUUAAAGUGAUAUGCGUUGGGGCGAUUGUGAUUUUGGCUACAUGAAAUUUCUUCAAGAAAUGUUCUUAGAUUUUGGCAAAUAUUGGCUUAGGUUUCUUAUAAAUGGGACUGUUUUGAUUUGUCUAAUUCUAAAAUAUAUUAAUUGUAUUGGGACUGUUUCGCUUUGGCUUUCUUGUUGUAGUGGGAUUGUUGUGUAUGAAACAAUUAAGAAGGAAUAAAGAUAAGUUGUGAAAUGUUACUCUCUUACUAUGUUUUGAUUUUGCUUUACUGUUGUAAUUGGUUUAGUUAGA